UGGAGGGCGGUGUUUAACAUCCAGUCCCGCCUACCGGACCAUUAACGACCGCCGCCACGUGUACUAUCCUCAUCUUCUGACCCACCCUGAAACCCACCUUCAUGAAUGCGGAAGCACACAGUAACUGGACAAUGAAGGGGAUAUAGCUGCAAAUUCACUGCUGGCUUCUGCAAUCAAAUUGGAGGUUGCAUACGUUUUGAUGGAGGUAGUGUUCUCACUCUACCUGUGACCAUCAGGGCGUCUGUGGAGGUUUGGGUGAAGGACACGAACCUUGACUCUCAAAGCUUGUUGCUCUUCCCGGCCACUGCAAGAAUCCAUCACAGCCUCCACCACCCAAACCUUUCAUCGGACCUGAGAGCUCUGCAUGUUGAUGGACAAGCAGCCAGUUGUCAAGCUAAUCAAGGUGUCUGUGAGGCGCGCUGCUCUCAGUGUGGUGCUGAAGGCGUGAGUGGAAAUAAUGAGCCGAGGUCCUGUCUUUGACCCAUAGCUAAUGCUGUACACUGCAAUCCCCCUGCCCUUCUCCUUCACAAACAUCAAUGCCAGGGUUGUUGUUUCCCACAACAACCCGACUCUCACAAUUUCUCCUCCAUGUAUAAUUGCUAAUGAAGUAACUUUGGAGAUUACUAGUCGCCUGGGAAGCCCAGUAAGCCAUUACAUAAUUGAGGUUAGGGGGUAAUUGCAAGCACGCUAAAAUAUGAGAGUGUACAUGCACGGCUUCGAUAGAAUCCCAUUAACGGAAGCAUAACUGUGUUGACAUGUCUGAGACAUUCUGUAGCUUAGGUGAGAUUCAAAACUGUAUUCAUGUCCCACAGUUUGCUGCAUGCACACACAAGCUAAUUAAUGCACGAGCGGUGCAGGGGAAGAAAAGGAAAAACCUGCAAUUACAGUCAGUAUAACAAACUACUGUAAGAGCAAGAGGGGGUUAACACUUUUGCAAGGCAAGGCACUGUAUCCGUGUCACAUUCUCGACUGAGACAGGCUGAGCCCCCUAAAGGUCUGAUCCUAGAAUUGCCCCUGCCCUGGUGUAUCUGCUGUCUCAGUAUUAACGCUGCUAUAAAGGGAAAAGCCAAAGGGAACUUCAGCAGGAACUGACAGGCUGCCACCGAACUGAAGCAGGCAACCGGAGGCCAGACCUGUAAAGCAUUACAUUGUGAAAGUGUUGCUGCUGACCUCCGGUCUGUGUGUCUGAUGCUACUGCUGCUACCAGCUGUUAAUAUUUAAUGAAAGGAUGAGAUGAAUCAGUGGCUCAACCUUCAUCCAUCAUUCAUGCAUCACAAUGUGCAAUUAUUUAAGAAUGAGCAGCCAGGCAGUGCUACAGUUCUCUGGUUUAUUGGCAUUUCAUGAAACCAAUCACAAUCGUCAUGGGCAGCGCUAGGUCCCGUGUGGAGCCACAGUGCCGCUGCAAAAUAGCCUCGGGAAGGAACUUGUUUGGGUGGAACAUGUGUACCUCAAA